GUGCAUUCCAUUUCAGUUGUUGCCUCAAGUUUUACUUGGUCGUUGUGUGUUUCCUGUGCUAAAUACCUAACAUGAAGGCAUUCCAUUUGAUGUGGACACUAUAUCCACCUUUUGAUGCCCCCCAAGAGGAGUGCGUUUUGUUGGUGGACCUCAAAUCAUGCAUUGUGGUUCACAUCCUUUGCCUGCCUGUUCAUGCUUUGGUUGUUGACCCAUGAUGUUGUGUUUGAUCUCUUGGAUAUUGAAAAUUGUGAGGGAAUGGGUCUUUGGCCUUUAAUGACCCCAAAUUAAGCGUUCGACCCUAUAAGC
rnacentral:misc_RNA from 1 species